rnacentral:rRNA from 1 species
UACGUAGGGACCGAGCGUUGUCCGGAAUCACUGGGCGUAAAGCGCACGUAGGCGGCUUUCUAAGUCAGGGGUGAAAUCCUGGAGCUCAACUCCAGAACUGCCUUUGAUACUGGGAAGCUUGAGUCCGGAAGAGGUGAGUGGAACUGCGAGUGUAGAGGUGAAAUUCGUAGAUAUUCGCAAGAACACCAGUGGCGAAGGCGGCUCACUGGUCCGGUACUGACGCUGAGGUGCGAAAGCGUGGGGAGCAAACAGG